rnacentral:rRNA from 1 species
GUCCUAGCCCUAAACGAUGAAUACUUGGUGUCUGGAGUUCUUUUCUCCGGGUGCCGUCGCUAACGUUUUAAGUAUUCCGCCUGGGGAGUACGCACGCAAGUGUGAAACUCAAAGGAAUUGACGGGGACCCGCACAAGCGGUGGAGCAUGUGGUUUAAUUCGACGCAACGCGAAGAACCUUACCUGGACUAGAAUGCCUCUGACCGUCCCUUAACAGGGACUUUCCGGGCAACCGGACGGAGUGCAAGGUGCUGCAUGGCUGUCGU